AAGAUUUCAGUUAUUGCUUUGAUUGUUACUUGGAGUUACUGAUUGACUAGGUAAGUAUCUAUAAACUGUUUUAAUAAAUAUAAUUUAAUUUAUUUAAAGUAUAAGUAAUUUAACUGAUUUUAUAUGCAUGUUAAUACGAUUAUGUGUAACAACAUGAUUUUGUAUUAGUCAUACAAUUGCAAAUAUUUAGCAAAUGGAAAGAUGUCUUCAUGAAACAUCACGUUUUUUUAAAUGUGAACUGUGUUUGUUUCAACAUCAAAUAAUUUGUAACCUUUAUAUCCAGCAGGAUAACUGAGGAAGAUGCACGGUCUUAAACGUGGUUGAAACUUAUGUCUGCUCUUUGAAGAAGUAAGACAACCGAAGACACGAAUUCCACUGUAAUCUGCCUUUUUGAAAGUAAGAACUUCGAAUAGAGAUUUGUUUUGAAGGAAAAGAGUAAGCAAUCUGUUGAUUAGGAAAAUAACAGUCAAAAUGCACUCUCCCCAAAACUCCAAUGGCAUGUGUGACUGAAACAUGAGAGAUCUUGCCACAUUUAGUAUGUGUUGGUGCUUCCUCUCGACGACUGAGUUCUGCUCUAGAGUUCCGGACAAGAAUGGUAAGGAAUGAUACCUUUCUUCUUAUACAAAUCCCUGAAUCUCUGGAGCAUUAUCAGAUCGAACACUAUACUGAGUCUUAACCAUCCGUAAAAACUUGAGAAACAUAGUCAAAACCUCAUCUUUUGUUCUGAGCAGAUAUAUCCAGGUGACCCGAGUAUAAAAUCUGAUUAUAAAAUUGUAUGAUCAAUUUUUAUCUAGUUUUUUAUAUAAAUAUAAUU
rnacentral:lncRNA from 1 species